UAGCAUCGUGCCCGCACGUGGUGCCACCCCGAUCCAGGCGGAGGGGGUGGAGAAUUGGGAAAGCGGUACGCGGAAGGCUCAUAGCCCCGCAAAGCCGCUGCUGCCCCCGCAACGGUGUGGAAGCUUAAAGGCCGUCGAAACCACUGGGUCGGAAGACCUGGGAAGGGACGGCCCCCGGUCCGGAUCUCCGGUCCGGCUUCCGAGCCCGGAUACCAGCCCGUGACAUGACCGGCAG
rfam:Tistrella mobilis KA081020-065, complete genome.